UACGUAGGGGGCAAGCGUUGUCCGGAAUCAUUGGGCGUAAAGCGCGCGUAGGCGGCUCGGUAAGUCCGCUGUGAAAGUCCAGGGCUCAACCCUGGAAAGCCGGUGGAUACUGUCGGGCUAGAGUCCGGAAGAGGCGAGUGGAAUUCCAGGUGUAGCGGUGAAAUGCGUAGAUAUCUGGAGGAACACCGGUGGCGAAGGCGGCAUCCUGGACCGGCAUUGACGCUGAGGCGCGAAAGCCAGGGGAGCAAACGGG
rnacentral:rRNA from 1 species